CAGGUGGCAGAGACUGUUCAGGAUGGGGUCCCCAAACUGGGGAGCCUAGGAGGUGGGAAAAGCUUUGGGGUAGUCACCUGGCCGGGAGGUGGCAGAAGAACCUGGCUUCCCGCUGCCCAGCGACGGCAGGGUCCGGGGUCAGGCGUGAGGGCCCGAGCUGCUGCUGUUUCUGUGGCUGAGGGAAGCCACCCGGCUAGUCCCGGACAAGCUCAGCGCUCCGGGCAGGGAACAGUAGCAACUGAACCGAAGCAGAGGCGUCUGCAGCUGUGCGCAGGGUGGGAACAGGUGCUCGGAAAAAAAAAUGCAGUUCUAGGGACCGAUGGUGGGCCUAAGUAUCAGCUCAGACACAACAAAAACAAAAACAUCAUCACCACCUGUGGGGUGGGAAAUGCAGCGAAGCAGCAAAAAGUAGGGGCCCUGAGAAGCAGAACCCACUUCCGAUGUGGGGGAGGGGCUCUCUGCGAUGACAUUUAGGCUGAAACCUCAGAAGCAAGCCAUCUGAGCAAGGCAAAGAAAGGGGACACUCAGUACCGCGAGUGGAAGGAACUGCCAGUAAAGAGGCCUAGAGGCCAAAAAGCGAUUGGUCUACUACAGCAGGCCCCUGCUGUUGAAGUCAGUGCUGGGAGGAAAUUAGAUCUAAAGGCUCGAAGAUAACAUAUAUCUCCUAGGUGCUGCCGUGUUCUCCAAAUUGCAUCAGAUAAGGAGGCACACAACAUCUGGUUGUCUCACUUUAGUGAGGCUGAAGUUGAUCACUGAUGAGGCUGUGACAGCCAGACUUCUGCAUUGUAAAGUGGGUCAGGGCCGGCUGCUGGGAGGACAUGCCUCUGUUCCAGGCCCCAGGCCAAGUACCCAGGGUCGCCCGAAGGUCUGUGAACUUCGGGGGUACUCACCAAACCUGGCAUCAGCAGUGAGCUUCAGGAUCUUCUCAUACUACGGAGAAAGGAGGCCCUCAGGGAGCGCCGGACACCUGUGCACCAGCUCCGCCCCUGGCCCGCAUCCUGCGGUGAGGAUGCCAGAAGGUCCUUCAGCACCUGGCUACACAGCAGCCUCAGCUUCACGGAGGACUGAAGGGAAAGGCCUUGCAUCAGCCAGACCGACCCUCCUCGCCCCUCCACGCUGGGCGGCUGGUUCCAAGAGGGCUGGCAUGUGAGCAGUCACUCAACGUGUGAGGACAGCCCAAGAGCAAGGAGGCCUCAACCCCAGAGUGACCUCGCCACCCUCCACCCUGAGCCCCAUCGGCAGUCCUUCCCUCCCCCGCUCCCCAGACCCCGUGCACUCAACAAUCUUGGCCAGCGUGCUGAUCUCUGCCAGGACCCAGUCAGGACAGUCCAGAUCACCACAGAACCGGAACCUCUGCGAGGGAGUGAGGCAGGCGGUCAGGUGAGGGUGAGGAGGGCGGGCUGAGGCAUAGCCAGGUGUCCCUCACUACUGGUCCUCAGCGUCCCUGCUCCCUGUCCAGGAUGGAUGCCCUCUGGCCAUUGGCUCUCCCCCCACUGGCAGGCUGUUUGGAGAACCCUCCUUUACUCCCUCGGCCCCCAGGCCUCGUUCUAAUGCCUGUCCUACAUAUUCAUCUGCUCAGCAAACACUGGGCACCUUUGCGGGAGGGGGCAGUGCUGGGGCACAGCAUGGAACAAUGCAAAGUCCUCAGGAGGCCAGUGACCACUCGCGUCUCCUCUUUCCUCUCUCCCCCUGCAGCCGCACGGACUGCCCUGCUGCUCCUGUCUCUCCUGCUUCACUCGGGUCUCUGCUCAAGACACCUCUUUCUAUGGAUUUUCUCUAAUGACGCUUUCUAGACCCUCACACAAGGAAAUGUGCGGGGGUGGGGGGGCCAGGGGAUGCGCUCAUUAUCUUGAGCAUGCUCAUAUUUUCAUAUACAUGUCAAUGCUUACGGAACUGUAUGAUUACAUAUGUAUGGUUUGUUUCAUGUCAUUUUCAUCUCAAGGAAGCUGUUAAAUAAAACAGCUCUUCUGCUCAA